AGAGUUUGAUCAUGGCUCAGAACGAACGCUGGCGGCGUGGAUAAGACAUGCAAGUCGAGCGCUGAUUACGGGGUAGCAAUAUUCCGUGGUCGGAGCGGCGCAAGGGUGCGUAACACGUGGGUAAUCUGCCAUGAAGUUUGGAAUAACUUGCUGAAAGGCGAGCUAAUGCCGGAUGUGAAAACUGGGAGGCAUCUCUUGGUUUUCAAAGCUGGGGACCGUAAGGCCUGGCGCUUCAUGAUGAGCCCGCGGCCUAUCAGCUAGUUGGUAAGGUAACGGCUUACCAAGGCUAAGACGGGUAGCUGGUCUGAGAGGACGACCAGCCACACUGGAACUGAGACACGGUCCAGACACCUACGGGUGGCAGCAGUCGAGAAUUUUUCACAAUGGGCGCAAGCCUGAUGGAGCGACGCCGCGUGGGGGAUGAAUGGCUUCGGCCCGUAAACCCCUGUCAUUUGCGAUCAACCGUUGUUGUUUAAGAGAUGACAACCUGAUAGUAGCGAAAGAGGAAGGGACGGCUAACUCUGUGCCAGCAGCCGCGGUAAUACAGAGGUCCCAAGCGUUGUUCGGAUUCACUGGGCGUAAAGGGUGCGUAGGUGGCGGGGUAAGUCGGAUGUGAAAUCUCCGAGCUCAACUCGGAAAUGGCAUUGGAAACUGCUCUGCUCGAGGGUUGGAGGGGGGACUGGAAUACUUGGUGUAGCAGUGAAAUGCGUAGAUAUCAAGUGGAACACCAGUGGCGAAGGCGAGUCCCUGGACAACUCCUGACACUGAGGCACGAAAGCUAGGGGAGCAAACAGGAUUAGAUACCCUAGUAGUCC
rnacentral:rRNA from 1 species